rnacentral:rRNA from 1 species
ACUCCUACGGGAGGCAGCAGUGGGGAAUAUUGCACAAUGGGCGAAAGCCUGAUGCAGCGACGCCGCGUGAGCGAAGAAGGCCUUCGGAUCGUAAAGCUCUGUCCUAUGGGAAGAUANGGAACGUACCAUAGGAGGAAGCCCCGGCAACUCG